UGAUUAAUGUGGUUAAUUAUGGGUAAAAUGCACAAAUAUUUUAAAUAAGCAGGUGGUUAUAAAAUAUUCAUUAUUGUCGGGGAAUAUUCGUUUGGUCGUGGAAUAUUCGUACUGUCGGGGAAUAUUCGUACGACGGCGCAGCCAUGUGUGGGCCCCAUAACGGAAAGCGAUUGGAGGAAGAAAACAAAAAAAAUAAGUUGUUUAAAAUAACGGCGUAGUUGUUUCCGUUUACACUGUUGGAAUACCCGGUGGUUAAAACACAGUAAUACGCGUUGUUGCACAGUAGC
rnacentral:lncRNA from 1 species